CGGGGCGUAGCGCAGCUCGGUAGCGCGCCUGCUUUGGGAGCAGGAUGUCGGAGGUUCAAAUCCUCUCGCCCCGACCA
rnacentral:tRNA from 5 species